CUUGUCUCCAGUCCGCUGACAGUUUCAUCUUUGUUAGUGCUCCAAUCAGUGAAAAGCGAGCCCAACAUGUACUUUUUGCUCAAGUUGGUCGUUUUGUUGGUUCUUGCCGCCGUCGCACUUGGGGGCGAGUACAGUCAUCAUUACGGCGGAGGCAGCGGAGGAGGCGGUGGCGGUGGCGGAGGGCAUGGACAUGCAACAUCUCACCAAAACUAUGUUCUUCAUAGUUAUGACCCAGUUCCGGUGUACUACAAGAAACAUGGCCACUAUUAGACACCAUUUCCUCAUAUUUCGCUCACAAAUCAACGUUUCCGAUGUCAUAAACCCAUUGUAAUUAUUAAACAGUAUUGUAACAUUUUGCAAA